rnacentral:rRNA from 1 species
AGUGAACGCUGGCGGUAGGCCUAACACAUGCAAGUCGAACGGCAGCACAGUAAGAGCUUGCUCUUACGGGUGGCGAGUGGCGGACGGGUGAGGAAUACAUCGGAAUCUACUUUUUCGUGGGGGAUAACGUAGGGAAACUUACGCUAAUACCGCAUACGACCUACGGGUGAAAGCAGGGGAUCUUCGGACCUUGCGCGAUUGAAUGAGCCGAUGUCGGAUUAGCUAGUUGGCGGGGUAAAGGCCCACCAAGGCGACGAUCCGUAGCUGGUCUGAGAGGAUGAUCAGCCACACUGGAACUGAGACACGGUCCAGACCCCUACGGCAGGCAGCAGUGGGGAAUAUUGGACAAUGGGCGCAAGCCUGAUCCAGCCAUACCGCGUGGGUGAAGAAGGCCUUCGGGUUGUAAAGCCCUUUUGUUGGGAAAGAAAAGCAGCAGGUUAAUACCCCGCUGUUCUGACGGUACCCAAAGAAUAAGCACCGGCUAACUUCGUG